AUUGAACGCUGGCGGCAUGCCUUACACAUGCAAGUCGAACGGCAGCACGGGAGCUUGCUCCUGGUGGCGAGUGGCGAACGGGUGAGUAAUACAUCGGAACGUACCCUGAAGUGGGGGAUAACGUAGCGAAAGUUACGCUAAUACCGCAUAUUCUGUGAGCAGGAAAGAGGGGGAUCGCAAGACCUCUUGCUUUAGGAGCGGCCGAUGUCGGAUUAGCUAGUUGGUGAGGUAAAGGCUCACCAAGGCGACGAUCCGUAGCGGGUCUGAGAGGAUGAUCCGCCACACUGGGACUGAGACACGGCCCAGACUCCUACGGGAGGCAGCAGUGGGGAAUUUUGGACAAUGGGCGCAAGCCUGAUCCAGCCAUGCCGCGUGAGUGAAGAAGGCCUGU
rnacentral:rRNA from 1 species